AGAGUUUGAUCAUGGCUCAGAUUGAACGCUGGCGGCAGGCCUAACACAUGCAAGUCGAACGGUAACAGGAAGCAGCUUGCUGUUUCGCUGACGAGUGGCGGACGGGUGAGUAAUGUCUGGGAAACUGCCUGAUGGAGGGGGAUAACUACUGGAAACGGUAGCUAAUACCGCAUAACGUCGCAAGACCAAAGAGGGGG
rnacentral:rRNA from 1 species